UACGGAAGGUCCGGGCGUUAUCCGGAUUUAUUGGGUUUAAAGGGAGCGUAGGCCGGAGAUUAAGCGUGUUGUGAAAUGUAGGAGCUCAACUUCUGCACUGCAGCGCGAACUGGUUUCCUUGAGUACGUAGGAAGUUGGCGGAAUUCGUGGUGCAGCGGUGAAAUGCUUAGAUAUCACGCAGAACCCCGAUUGCGAAGGCAGCAUACCGGUGCUCAACUGACGUUCAUGCUCGAAAGUGUGGGUAUCAAACAGG
rnacentral:rRNA from 1 species